rnacentral:rRNA from 1 species
GGGUUGUGAGGUUAAGCGACUAAGCGUACACGGUGGAUGCCCUGGCAGUCAGAGGCGAUGAAGGGCGUGCUAAUCUGCGAUAAGCGCCGGUAAGGUGAUAUGAACCGUUAUAACCGGCGAUACCCGAAUGGGGAAACCCAGUGUGACUCGUCACACUAUCAUUAACUGAAUCCAUAGGUUAAUGAGGCGAACCGGGGGAACUGAAACAUCUAAGUACCCCGAGGAAAAGAAAUCAACCGAGAUUCCCCCAGUAGCGGCGAGCGAACGGGGAGGAGCCCAGAGCCUGAAUCAGCAUGUGUGUUAGUGGAAGCGUCUGGAAAGGCGCGCGAUACAGGGUGACAGCCCCGUACACAAAAACGCAUGUGCUGUGAGCUCGAUGAGUAGGGCGGGACACGUGGUAUCCUGUCUGAAUAUGGGGGGACCAUCCUCCAAGGCUAAAUACUCCUGACUGACCGAUAGUGAACCAGUACCGUGAGGGAAAGGCGAAAAGAACCCCGGCGAGGGGAGUGAAAAAGAACCUGAAACCGUGUACGUACAAGCAGUGGGAGCACAGGUUUACCUG